CAAGCGGUGGAGCAUGUGGUUUAAUUCGAUGCAACGCGAAGAACCUUACCUACUCUUGACAUCCAGAGAACUUUCCAGAGAUGCUUUGGUGCCUUCGGGAACUCUGAGACAGGUGCUGCAUGGCUGUCGUCAGCUCGUGUUGUGAAAUGUUGGGUUAAGUCCCGCAACGAGCGCAACCCUUAUCCUUUGUUGCCAGCGAUUCGGCCGGGAACUCAAAGGAGACUGCCGGUGAUAAACUGGAGGAAGGUGGGGAUGACGUCAAGUCAUCAUGGCCCUUACGAGUAGGGCUACACACGUGCUACAAUGGCAUAUACAAAGAGAAGCGACCUCGCGAGAGCAAGCGGACCUCAUAAAGUGCGUCGUAGUCCGGAUUGGAGUCUGCAACUCGACUCCGUGAAGUCGGAAUCGCUAGUAAUCGUGGAUCAGAAUGCCACGGUGAAUACGUUCCCGGGCCUUGUACACACC
rnacentral:rRNA from 1 species